rnacentral:ncRNA from 1 species
GUUACAACUUCUACGGUAACUAUUGAAGGGCGUCUUAAGGAGUAAUUCUUAAGAGAAUGACUGGGUGAAUUGCUGGAACUUCCUAAAGCCUUAUUAGCCACAACGAAACUGGAAACGGUAUACGCGAGGGUUUAAAAAUAAUAAGGAUGGAACAAUGGAUAAUCAGCAGCCAAGCUCCUGGCUCGAAAGAGUGGAGAAGGUUCAACGACUAAGGAAUACCACCUAAAGCAAAAGUCAUGGUGAUGAAUCCUGUAGGAAUGAUAAGAAAUGUGGAAGCUUAUCAGACCGAAGUGCCCAGCCCCUAAUUGAUCUUUAGGGUGAAGAUAUAGUCUAUUCUGUAACCGAAAGGUACAG